CCUGGGUUCCGUCUCCCUGGGCCCAGCCUGAGUUCUCUACAGCCAUCCUUUCCAAAUGUGUGACCUGCCUUGUGACCCUGAACCUGGGCUUUGAGGAUGUGUGUACGUGGUGGAGCAGCAAAGGCAGAAGGACCUCACCGGCUGCCAGGCUGCACUGACCGCGUGCUGGGCUGCGCUGUGUUGCUGCUGCCUGAUGGAUGAGCUGAGCUGAGCACAGGACCAAGCUGCCGCCUCCUGGAACUGAUGAAAGACUAAUGCUGCUCACUUUACACUCCCCGCUCCUACUCCCUUUCCUUUCUUUUUCCUACCUAAUCUACAGCAUUAAAAACAUUAGUACCCGCCCACCAGAGGAGAGCUUGACUGAUAGAGCCUGAAACUUGUAUGCCUGAGGCUCCCAGUUUGAUCCCUUGUGUUGUAUGUAACAGAGUGCUGUUUGAGAUCUCUCCUUUCUCUCUCUCUCUCAUGAAACUCGAUGUGAAAUAAAUCUUUAAAAAAAAUUAGCACCUACUAAAAGGUAUGAGUGCUUUCUUGCGUAUUCUAAUCUGACUUCCCUGGUAAAUAUUUUUUUGUGUGUGAUUUAUUUCUAUAUAUUUUCCAAGUUACUUGGCAUUUCUUUAUAGAUCUUUUUUUAUAGAUGCCUUGAGAGGAGAGAGAAAGAGAACCAGUGCAUCAUUCUGGCAUGUGCAGUGCCAGGGAUCAAACUUGGAACUUGUCUCUAAUCACUCUGCCACCUCCCCAGCUGCAGUUUGUUUUUUCUUAUUGAUCUGUAGGAAGUCCUUAAAUAACCUGCACGCUAGUAUUGUUACUUUUGGAGGUUUGCAAUAUAGUGUUCUUUUCUCCUAGCCUUUUUUAGAAGUCCCCUCCCCAAUAUUAAAGGUUUUUAAAUAUCAUGUUUAA